GGAGAGUUGUCCGAGUGGUCGAAGGUGCAGCACUCGAAAUGCUGUAGGGUGCAAGCCCUCCGGGGUUCGAAUCCCCGACUCUCCGCCA
rnacentral:tRNA from 1 species